rnacentral:rRNA from 1 species
AUUGAACGCUGGCGGCAGGCCUAACACAUUCAAGUCGAACGAGUGGCGGACGGGAGAGCUAUGUCUCGGCAAGUGCGUGAUGGAGGGGGACCACUACUGGAAACGGUAGCUAAUACCGCAUACCAUCGGAUGUGCCCAGAGGGGAUUAGCUAGUGGGUGGGGUAAAGGCUCACCUAGGCGACGAUCCGUAGCGGGUCUGAGAGGAUGACCAGCCACACUGGAACUGAGACACGGUCCAGACUCCUACGGGAGGCAGCAGUGGGGAAUAUUGGACAAUGGGCGAAAGCCUGAUGCAGCCAUGCCGCGUGUGUGAAGAAGGCCUUCGGAUUGUAAAGUACUUUCAGCGGGGAGGCGUUACCCGCAGAAUAAGCACCGGCUAACUCCGUGCCAGCAGCCGCGGUAAUAC